AAUACAUACUGGAUUUUCCCUGUAUUUAUCACCAUGCCCAUUCAUCCCUCAGUACACCCCCUGGGGAUUCGCGUUCGAAGCGCAUUUUGGCUUGACUGGCAUCUCCCUUAUUGUCACUCCUUAGCUGGGCGCACGUAAGCCGUCUGUCCUCCUUCCAUGGGAGACGGCUUUUUUGACCUGGUCCCCAUGCACCUUUUGGUGUUUUUGACCAUGGGUCUAUACCUGCGCCUAUAACAGGGGCAGGGAUCACACAGUGGACAUUUUUCGUGCCCCUGUUUUUUCCUUUCUGCCCCUGGACCUUUUGGCCCACGUGUCCCCAUUCUUGCAUAAUUAUAAUAUCCUUUUAAUACAACAUCUUCUUAGAUUGCUGUCCCUUUAAUUUUAUGGCUGAGCAUACCUGUACAUAAAGAUACUGUAUAUACAAACCCCUGCUUGCAUUGAGCAGCAACCGUGCUUACAAAUCACUCUAUAACAAAAACAUUUAUUUGCAUCUUGCAUUUCCAAUCCUUCUUACUACUUUUUCCCUAGCUGACCCUUUUUAUACCCUUCUCCUCCUGUACUAGUAAUGGUCAUGCCCCCUUUAUUAUACGUUUCUUAUUCUCCAACAUGCAACCAACUAUUCUGCAUAUUCUCCACCCCCGUGUCAGGUGAUCUUCCUGGUCACUUGCCAUGUUUUUUUUUUUUUUUUUUUUCCUCCCUGCACGUCAUUAGUGCGGGCUCCCACAUGAUGAGAGCAGGGCUUACCUGUCCCUCCCCUCUCCCCACUUGGAGGCAACGCCCCCUUUUCCACACUGACCCAUAGCAACGCAGGCUCCUUUACAGACCCCUCCCACCUUACUCCUCCCCCUCUCCUAUUUAAAAGCCAAGCAGCCCCACAAUGUCAGACAUUGCUGGAUGGCUGCAGCAGCUGUACACACUCUACACUGCUUGUGUUUUCUUCCCAUCUUCCGAUCCCUCUACUGACCUCUCUGGCCACUUUUUGUCAUUACAGGUAAAAAUAUAUAUAUAUACAAUCAAUAAACUUUUACGCUGUGACACUUCGGGCCAAAGGUCUUGCUACGCUGUGAUUGAUAUUAGAUGCCAGUCCUCACUCCUCUCCUUACCAUCUGAGGCUUGCCAUGCGUCCCGAUUGCGAUGUCCUUUUAAGGGGUGUGCUGAGCCGUUGAAACUUCUCGGGUGAAAAGUUGUCUGUUACACUUUCUGACUCCACACAUACUUCGGUCCCUGAAGAAGGAAACCCGAAACGCGUUGGGCCCAGUAUUUAUAUUGUGGACUCUUCACCUCUUUUCCAAUACACCCUUU